GGGGCUGACAUGGAUUUGACAGCAGGACAAAGUGGUAUGUAAGCAUGCCGAGCCUUGAGAUAACAGCUCGUAAAUCUCGAAUCUCGAAUUUAUAACUGGCGAAAAUAAUUACGCUCUCGCUGCCUAACCGAAGUACAGUAAGUUAGCAUAUCCUUGCUCAAGGAGCUUGGACGAGACAUCUCCCAAGUGCCAUUUCCUGAAGCGGCUUGAAACGGAGGUGCUGGAAAAUCGGGAAUAGCAGGCCGACAGUCUUGGUUUGCCCGCGAAAAUAAAAAGACUAAGGAAAAGUCAGGGUGUCUGUUCCCAUGCUUUUCACGAAAAUCAAUAACCGAAUAAGCAUGUAGAAAGCGUAUGGCUUGCCUGUUUGGACGAGGGUUCGAUCC
rnacentral:tmRNA from 1 species